rnacentral:rRNA from 1 species
ACGAACGCUGGCGGCGUGCCUAAUACAUGCAAGUUGAGCGCUGAAGGUUGGUACUUGUACCAACUGGAUGAGCAGCGAACGGGUGAGUAACGCGUGGGGAAUCUGCCUUUGAGCGGGGGACAACAUUUGGAAACGAAUGCUAAUACCGCAUAAAAACUUUAAACACAAGUUUUAAGUUUGAAAGAUGCAAUUGCAUCACUCAAAGAUGAUCCCGCGUUGUAUUAGCUAGUUGGUGAGGUAAAGGCUCACCAAGGCGAUGAUACAUAGCCGACCUGAGAGGGUGAUCGGCCACAUUGGGACUGAGACACGGCCCAAACUCCUACGGGAGGCAGCAGUAGGGAAUCUUCGGCAAUGGACGAAAGUCUGACCGAGCAACGCCGCGGGAGUGAAGAUGGGUGUCGGAUCGUAAAACUCUGUUGGUAGAGAAGAACGUUGGUGAGAGUGGAAAGCUCAUCAAGUGACGGUAACUACACAGAAAGGGACGGCUAACUACGUG